rnacentral:lncRNA from 1 species
ACAAGCUUUGGUUAUUUUGACUUGUAGAUCCUGAGAGGUCAUCCUUGGCAACUAUUUCCACGCAGUUCCACACUUAUAUGUGUAAGUGUGUAUAUAGGCUUACACACUUCCCACAUACUAAAAACUCUAACCCUGUAAGGAACUACUGAAAGCAAUACAAUUACAGGAGGCAGCUCAGAUUGAAGUCCAGCAUCUUAUCAUCCAAUUACUCUCAGAUGUCCAUGAGGAGACUACAAACUGUCAGGUGCACUUUCUCUCAAAAUAUGCACCAAAGGGAUACAUAUUUGCCCUAUACAAAUCAAUCACACAAGACUGAAACAGACAAAGGAAAAUGCAGUUAACACAACUAUUUUAGAGGGGCAAAAGAUAACAAAUGGCACCUUUUGCCUCAUAGCACUCUGAGAAGCAAGAGGGGUCACCAGCAGCUCUACUAGAGCCACUUAUGAAAAUUCAGCCUGGGUUCUCACUCUUGUCGCAUCUGCUCAAACCAGCAUAGUCUGUUCCGGAAAUACUACCUCAAUGUGUGCCCCCAGUGUUUCCAUAAGUACUUUAAAAACAUACAUUUCAUUAAGUUGGACUAAGAGGUCUUCUUUGAAUGGAUAACCAAGGCAUCCACACAACGAAAGAAACCGUGUUAGCUCUUUGUACAUAAAUUUAAAAUUCAAACAAACAAACAAACAAGUACAGAAAAGAAAAUAGACCACAGUCACGGUCCAUAUCACUGAGGAAACCAACAAGAUCUCUUUUUUCAUUUUCUCUGGGAACGUUUCCCUGCAGCAAUUGGCUUCAUCCUCCAUUCUUAGCUUCUUGGAACUCCUACCAAGAUGGCAGAAUGACAGUCCUUUUUCCACUACAAGAGUUUUGAUUAUCUACUUCAUAGUGCAUAUAGAGAACCAUUUAGGAGAAGGAGCAAUCACGCAAGAGAAAAGAAGAAAGGGUAUCUAAAUACAAAGAGAGGUCAAACCAUCCCUGUUUGCAGAUGUCAUGAUUCUAUAUCUAGAAAACUCCAUAGUCUUCACCCGAAAGAUCCUUAAGCUGGUAAACCACUUUAGCAAAGUUUCAGGAUACAAAAUCAAUAUGCAAAAAUCACUAGAACUCCUAUAUGCCAACAACAGCGACAGGGACAAAUCAAGAAUGCAAUUCCAUUCAAAUUUGCCAUAAAAAGAAUAAAACACCUAAAAAUACAGCUAAUCAGGGAGGUAAAAGAUCGUUACAAUGAGAAUUACAAAACACUACUCAAGGAAACCAGAGAUGACACAAAGAAAUAGAAAAACAUUCCAUGCUCAUAGAUAAGAAAAACCAAUUAUCAUUAAGACAGCCAUACUGCCCAAAGAAAUUUAGAUGCAAGGCUAUUUGUCUCAAACUAUGAAUGACAUUCUUCACAGAAUUAGAAGAAAUAUUAUUUUAAAAUUUAAAUGGAACCAAAAAAAUGCCAAAUAACCGGGGCAAUUCUAAGUGAAAAGAACAAAACUGGAGGCAUCAAAUUACCCAACUUCAAAAUAUACUACAAGGCUACAGUAACCAAAACAGCAUGGUAUCGGUAUGAAAAGAGACACACAGACCAAUGGAACAGAAUGGAAAGCCCUAAAUAAGGCCACAAACCUACAACCAUCUGGUCUUCAACAAAGCUGACCAAACAAGCAAUGGAAAAA